rnacentral:rRNA from 1 species
UAAAACCAGCUCUUCAAGUGGUCGGGAAUAUUAUUGGGCUUAAAGUGUCCGUAGCCGGUUUGAAAAGUUCCUGGUUAAAUCUGGUAGCUUAACUAUCAGUCAGCUAGGAAUACUAUCUUACUAGAGGGUGGGAAAGGUUUGGGGUACUUCAGGGGUAGCGGUGAAAUGCGAUAAUCCUUGGGGGACCACCAGUGGCGAAGGCGCCAGACUGGAACACGCCUGACGGUGAGGGACGAAAGCCAGGGGAGCGAACGGGAUUAGAUACCCCGGUAGUCCUGGCCGUAAACGAUGCGUGCUAGGUGUUGGUAGGGCUUUGAGCCGUAUCAGUGCCGUAGGGAAACUGUUAAGCGCGCCGCCUGGGAAGUACGCUCGCAAGAGUG